CAUGCAGUCGAGCGGAAGGCCCCUUCGGGGGUACUCGAGCGGCGAACGGGUGAGUAACACGUGAGCAACCUGCCCCUGACUCUGGGAUAAGCCCGGGAAACUGGGUCUAAUACCGGAUAUGACCACUCCAGGCAUCUGGUGGUGGUGGAAAGUUUUUCGGUUGGGGAUGGGCUCGCGGCCUAUCAGCUUGUUGGUGGGGUGAUGGCCUACCAAGGCGACGACGGGUAACCGGCCUGAGAGGGCGACCGGUCACACUGGGACUGAGACACGGCCCAGACUCCUACGGGAGGCAGCAGUGGGGAAUAUUGCGCAAUGGGCGGAAGCCUGACGCAGCGACGCCGCGUGGGGGAUGACGGCCUUCGGGUUGUAAACCCCUUUCAGCAGGGACGAAGCUAACGUGACGGUACCUGCAGAAGAAGCGCCGGCUAACUACGUGCCAGCAGCCGCGGGUAAUUACA
rnacentral:rRNA from 1 species